GUACACAGCCAUAUCACCCUGCAGCUCACUGUUACUCACUGAAGCUAAGCAGGGCUGAGCCUGAUCAGUAUCUGGAUGGGAGACCACAUGGGAAAACUUGGUUGCUGUUGGAA
rnacentral:rRNA from 1 species